ensembl:ncRNA R07G3.13 ncRNA
AAGCAUGACAUACAUCGAAUAAAACACAUUACUCCUCUCUUUUCUUCGUUUCUCUUUGCUCUGUCGAAAUAUUACACUGGUGUGAGAGCAAGAACACAUGCUAUCGAAGUCCAGAGACUUCCGAUCAAUACUUUUUUACUGAUAUUU